rnacentral:rRNA from 1 species
AUUGAACGCUGGCGGCAGGCCUAACACAUGCAAGUCGAACGAGUGGCGGACGGGUGAGUAAUGUCUGGGAAACUGCCUGAUGGAGGGGGAUAACUACUGGAAACGGUAGAUAAUACCGCAUACCAUCGGAUGUGCCCAGAUGGGAUUAGCUAGUAGGUGGGGUAAAGGCUCACCUAGGCGACGAUCCCUAGCUGGUCCGGGAGGAUGACCGGCACCAUUGGAACUGAGACACGGUCCAGACUCCUACGGAAGGCGCCAGUGGGGAAUAUUGCACGAUGGGCGCAAGCCUGAUGCAGCCAGGCCGCGUGUAUGAAGAAGGCCUUCGGUUUGUAAAGUACUUUCAGCGGGGAGGCGUUACCCGCAGAAGAAGCACCGGCUAACUACGUGCCAGCAGCCGCGGUAAUUC